rnacentral:rRNA from 1 species
CUGGUGACGAUGGCGGAGAGGCCACACCCGUUCCCAUCCCGAACACGGUAGUUAAGCUCUCCAGCGCCGAUGGUACUGCGGUUAUCCGUGGAAGAGUAGGUCGUUGCCAGGA